rnacentral:tRNA from 1 species
GCCGCUAUAGCUCAGUGGUAGAGCACUGGUCUCGUAAACCAGGGGUGGUGAGUUCAUACCUCACUGGCGGCA